GGGUUGGGCACUCCAUGUGGUUGCACGGACCCUGUUAUGACAAAAUAAAAAUUAUUCAGCGGCAACGCGCGGGCAUUUUUCCUAUAAUACCUAAAAGUCUCUCUUUCUUCUUUUUUAUUUCCCACUUUGAUUUUUUGCCCACCCUCUUUCCAUAGGUUUUGGAAUACCUCUCUUUCUCAGGGAUAACCUAGUCAUGACCUUAUUUUGUGACAACAAUCAAAGGAAAAUCUGGAUUCUUGGAGGGAUUUUUAUCUCCUCUAUGGCGGUCGCCCUUCUCUUGUCCCCCAAGAUCUGCUCCACCUCGUGUCUCCUCCGGCGACGACGAAGGCCCGACGGUGGCGCUCAUCUUUCUUCUCCUUCGACGAAGGGUGCCAGCCGGAGUCACAUCUUGCAGCAGCUGAAAAUCUCUUGCCGAAGCAAUCCGUCCAUCUGUCAGCGGGGCUCCAACAAGCUUGUGAUUUUCUCUCUCACGCAUGCCUUCUUUUUCUCCCAUUCCUUGAUUUCGGUGUUUCAUCAUGCGUUCAUGGUUGCUCCGUCUGUGCAUGUGAAACGAGUAUGGUUUCUUUCUCCUGUUCUUUUACUAAUUCAGAAUUGUUUUGGUCCGCAACCAUUAAUCCUAAAAAAACAGAGAGAUGGGAUACAAUAGUAAGAACCAGAUGGAAGAAAACACAGCUGUGCAAUUUUUAACAAUCGUCCAGAUUAGAUGUGCAUUUACUAACUGCAUAUAUUUUAGAUCAUCUUCCAAAAUAUAGUGAACUCUCAAUUCAUAAAAGAAAAUCGCACACGUUUCACACGCCGUUGUGUGCAAUUGAUUCUAGUUGUUUUCCUUUGUGAUGUAAUGAUGUAAAAACAACAUAUGAUUUGUUAAGGACAGACUGUUGGAUAUCAUCUGAUCUAAAAUGACAACUUGCCACCAAUGCCAACUUGCUCUUAAACAAGUAUAGCAUCUGGGUACUCAUAUUUGGCAUUGUAUGAAAGCUGAUAGGCAAUGCUUAAUAGCGGCAACAUGUUUAUGGUUUGUAAAAUCGAUAGCUGAUGGUCAGCCUUGAUAGCUGAUGGCCUGGCUUCUCGCCUUUUGUGUGCACUGAAGCUUCACGGCUGCCAGCAGCUCCUUAACUAUCUAAACUACAUGCAAAGGGAAACUAUAUAUGCUGAUGCAACUCACAGUGCUAGUGUUCACCAGAUAUUUUCAGAACUUGGAAUCCAAUUGUUAUCAUAGUUAUUGUUAACCAUUUCUGUGACUUGCAAUUACUAACAAAAUUGAGUGCAUAUUGAGAUGGCAUAGAUGGUCACUUCCAGCACUUGUUCAAGGAGGACUGCAAGCACUUGUUCAGGGAGCAGCCGCUCUGCAGCGGCGCACUGUCGAGGAGGAGCGACUCAGCGUUGCAUCCCAGCGCGCGUGGGAGCAGAGGAGGACCGACGGCGCUGGGAGGUGGUUGAGAACGACGGCGAGCUUGGGCGAGGAGCCGCAAGUAGGCCAGCGACGAGUGCACAUUGAGCAGAAGUGGAUUAGCUAUCAGCUCCUCAUGGCGGAGGUCGAGUACGAUGGCGAGCUGGGUGCGGUGCCGCGGGCAAGCCAACGGGGAGUGCACGGAGAAGAUAGCAACCGGCGGUGAGCAGGUGAGCGAUGCGAGCUCUGGUAGAAAGGUUGAUCACGAUGGUGGCGACAGUGAUCCCAGAUCGACCCAUCUCUCUGUUUGUUGAUCUUGCCCUGUCGUGUUUGCUGAUUCCUCGAUCUAUCGCGGGCAAACUUAUUACUCGGUGGCGGACGUCAAGGACGAUGGAGACAAGACAAGAUUACUGUUUGGAAUUCAAAUUUACAGGCGUCAUUUGAAGCGUUAUGAAUUUUUAGUAUUUUUUUUUUGCAAAAACAAUUUUGGACGGAGGCUCCGAUAUCCUUUCUAGGAUGGAGGGAGUGCAUUUUAUUAGCACCUAAAAUCGAUGUGAUACAAACCAAAGACGUGGAUGGCAGUACUUUUCAGAAUUAACUGUUGGAAUUGAGCUUGA